UACAGAGGGUGCGAGCGUUAAUCGGAAUUGACUGGGCGUAAGCGUGCGUAGGUGGUGAGUUAAGUCUGUCGUGAAAGCCCCGGGCUCAACCUGGGAAUGGCGAUGGAUACUGGCUCGCUAGAGUGCGGUAGAGGAGAGUGGAAUUCCCGGUGUAGCAGUGAAAUGCGUAGAGAUCGGGAGGAACAUCAGUUGCGAAGGCGGCUCUCUGGACCAGCACUGACACUGAGGCACGAAAGCGUGGGGAGCAAACAGG
rnacentral:rRNA from 1 species